UACAGAGGGUGCAAGCGUUGUUCGGAAUUAUUGGGCGUAAAGCGCGUGUAGGCGGCUUUGCAAGUCGGGUGUGAAAGCCCUCAGCUCAACUGAGGAAGUGCGCCCGAAACUGCAGAGCUUGAGAACCGGAGAGGAUGGCGGAAUUCCCGAAGUAGAGGUGAAAUUCGUAGAUAUCGGGAGGAACACCGGUGGCGAAGGCGGCCAUCUGGACGGAUUCUGACGCUGAGACGCGAAAGCGUGGGUAGCAAACAGG
rnacentral:rRNA from 1 species